GUCUAUGGCCAUGCCACCGUGAACAUGUCCAAUCUUGUCUGAUCUCGGAAGCUAAGCAGAGUCAGGCCUGGUUAGUACUUGGUUAGGAGACCACCUAGGAAUACCAGGUGCUGUAGGCA
rnacentral:rRNA from 1 species